UACGUAGGUGGCAAGCGUUUGUCCGGAAUUAUUGGGCGUAAAGCGCGCGCAGGCGGCCUUUUAAGUCUGAUGUGAAAGCCCACGGCUCAACCGUGGAAGGUCAUUGGAAACUGAAAGGCUUGAGUACAGAAGAGGAAAGCGGAAUUCCACGUGUAGCGGUGAAAUGCGUAGAGAUGUGGAGGAACACCAGUGGCGAAGGCGGCUUUCUGGUCUGUAACUGACGCUGAGGCGCGAAAGCUAGGGGAGCGAACGGGG
rnacentral:rRNA from 1 species